GGAUGAGGGCGAUCUGGCUGUAAUAUCUGUCACCCCAUCAGUCACCAAGGUUGGUUAGCUCAUCUGGCUGGUGUCCCCGUCUUCCCUCACCGCUCCACGUGCGUCCCUCCUGAAGCUGUGCGCUUGGCUGAAGAGGACCACCACCUCCAAUAGAGGAGGAGCGGUCUUCGGUCCAGGGUAUAUGAGUAGCUGCACCCCCCUGCUAGAACCUCCAAACAAGCUCUCAAAUACACCCAUUUUUUGAAGUCCCUCAUCUUAUCACCCACUUCUUUUAUUUUAUUAAGUAUAUUAAACAUGCAAUAUCAUGUAUU
ensembl:misc_RNA 7SK 7SK RNA